AUUACGUAACAUGGUAGAGCUUAAGGUCGAGGAACCUAAGUAGAGAAAUUAUAUAUCAGUAACUGUUUCAACAACAGCUGAAUAGAUUCAACUUGAUCCGUUCUGAGACUGUAUUUUUUUUAACCUAUUUUUGGCAUCAGAGUAAUAUUUUUGAUAGUGCCCACAUUGCAACCCUUGUAAAUAUCGUUGCACGAUGAAAACUUGUGUCAGAUCACCUCUCCUAAUGCUCAAGUUGAUCUACUUCAUUUUACCAGUUCUGGAGGGUCAACAAGUCAAUGUCUGGCCUGAAGUGUCUGGAUACUUGGGGCAUGAUGUCACCCUGCCAUGCCAAUUCAUCCAAGGAAAAGAAAAUGCCAAUAUUACACAGGUUCAGUGGGAUCUCCUGCAACCAGAAGGAAAAUCUAUCACUAUUAUUGUUUUUAGUCGCCAGUUUGGGGUGCUUAUUCUUGAAUCUUCUCUGAAGGAGAGACUGGAGAUUACUGAACAAUUGCUGCUAAUUAAAAACGUUGAAAUGAGAGAUGCAGGGUCAUACAUGUGCACCAUUGCAACCUUCCCUCUUGGUUCAUUUGAAGGAAAAACCAACCUUGUUGUUCGAGAACAGACAGAACUGAUCCAGAUAUUACCAAGGAUGAUUGCGACAGCCAUAUUCGUUAUGAUUAUAGUGACCAUGGCAGUCACAACUUAUGUCAUUAUCAUCAGAAUAAGACGUGAUUCUUCAGUCAAGCACCGUGUCUGCACUGCUAGUCCAGUGAUCUGUGAUUGAAAGAGACGAGGGUCUGAUCUACUCUGAUGUCAAGUUCAAACCAUCCAGAGAUGCUACAACUUCUUCCAAUGACAAACACAGAGACCAUUUAUGAUGAUGUCACAUAUACUUCAAGGUGAUGGUUAACCAUUGGCAACCCAAAAGAAGAGAAAGAGAUGUGCAAUGAUGUGGGAAAAAAAAACAAAAAAAAACACACUCUCUUAAAGCUGUUGUGUGUAAGUUGUAUUUACUAGCGUGUUCGUAUCUUGAGUAAAAAUGCAAAAGUCAUCACAUCCUGACAGCUGUUAAUAAAUCAUCCUAUUCUUAAAGGCCAGUGUUGUUCUCCAUUUUUCUUACUGUCAACAAAUUGUAUGAAAAAACAGGACCAACAGAGCAUUAUUCAAACUCUCAAUACUUUCUGAUUUCCCUGCUCUAGCUGCGGCCCUUAGUCGAAGACAUAGAUCUAUAAAAAAUGAUUAACAACAGUUUGAUGUUAUUCAUCAUUAUGUUAUUCAUUGGAGCGGGGCAACUAUACUUUUAGCUAAUGUUACUCAAACAAAAGUAAACUGUACAUUUGCUGGGGAAGUAUUUCCAGGUGCAGAUUAAUACUCAUUUGGUGUUUUAGCAAAUAUAUUUACAGCAACAUUUCUGUGUAUGUGUGAUUGACUCAUAUAAACAAUGCCAGUGUUCAUUAUAAUGGAGGAACAUGUCACCAAGUUCAACAGUGACUCAUUAAUGUGUUGUUAAUAGUUGUUGGACGACAAUGGAUCAAUGUUAUUCUUGGCCUUUUCGUGGGAUUUGUUGACAGUAGGAAAAAUAUAAAACAUAAUCACCCUCAUCCGCAGUGACCCCUGAGGACAAAGCACAGAGAAGGCACAAACAGUGAAUGUAGUAAAAGAUGCAUAUCUUAUCCAAUCUGUAAUAUAUAUUUGAAAAAUGAAGCUACAUUUGAUACCCACUGCUUGUGUUCAUUUUAUUUUGAUUAAAAUGUGGAGCUAUAUCUGUACAUAUAAGAACCCCAAAGUGCAAAGAGGCAGCACUGUUGUUAAACAGUCCAAUAAUAAUCUCUUAUGAAUUUAGCUUUACCUUCAGACAAACAGGCAGCAACAAAUAUCACAUUUCAACCGUGAGACCAAAUUUUAGCAUCCAAUAUGAAUUAUAUUUCGAAAUGCUACAGACGACAGAGCUGGUGGUAAGUUACCAAAGGGCUGUACUUUCCUAAUUCCUCAAACUUACACACAGCAGCUUUAAACCAAACAAGGAUUGCAUAUCAUGAUACAGUAUCAUAUCAGUUUUCUAGAGACAUAGAUUCUAUUGAAAGUUAGUCUUUUAUCCUACUCAGUUUUCUUUCUGUGUUGUGUCUGUUGCGCACAUUCUAUUGCAUUGAUCUCACAAUCCUCAUUACAUUCUUCGUCAUACCAAUAAUAGGUGACAGCACAUGGUUUGCAAAGUUGCCGUAGAGAUGCAUACCGUCAAUGAACAUCAGUUGUUUGCUGUGUAAAAGCAUUUUUACAGUAUAGUUUUUCCAAUUUUGCCGUCUUUUAUUUAUUUGUUAAUUGGAAUUCAGUGCUUAAGAAAUUUCAUUACGGUUAUAGUCUGUGUUGGCAGGAGGUGUGGGAAAUGUGUUUUUUAGGUGUGUAAAAGUACUAACUUAAGGACUCAUUUAUUUCUGGUGGUUGUGCUCUUACACCAUAUUUCUACUGAAAGUAGGUGCUCAAGAUUUCUUUACAAUCAGCAAUUUUUUGAGAUACUUUAGUGUGUAAAUCAUGUCUUCAUUUGCUUUAAAACUACAUUUUUAUGUUGUGGCUACUGUUGCUAAAUAAAGUUCUGCAUUUUUUCUGUGGAAAUCUGUCAUGACAGGAAAUUGCAGUUAGUCAUGCAGUGCAUUAUGCAGUGUUAGAAUGAAUGUAAAUCCCACCAAAAACAUUUACCAUCUAAAAUUAUCAAACAUUUCACAAAAACACAAUAGAGAAAUACCCAAAAUUGAAUACAAAUGUGUCUAUCAGAACUUUGUUUUUAUAUCUUCUUUCAUACCCCAUUGAUCAUCACACGACCACUCUGAUUUAUCUUGUGACCCUUUAGAGGGGCCCGAUCCCUGGGUUGGGAUCUGCUUGCUUGACUAUAUUAUGAAAUUUUACAUCAAGCAGUUAAAACUUGUUCCAACUCAAACGACUUCGACAGUGAAAAGCUGCUUACACACUGCGGCCUCUGUAUUAACAAUCUAAUAAUGUCAUAUGUUGUAAUAUCUCAGUCACAGGGGACUUUCCACUUAAAAAGCAAAGACACGCGUCACUAUGGGACUGUUUCAAUAUUUUUAUUCCAAAAGAAGUUUGUGUGUCUAUAGGUUUGAACAACUGGGCGAUCUCUCUGAAGAACAUCAUUGCACCUUCAUCCCAAAGCCUCCCAUCGCCCACCCUUCACCCACAAGCACACUAUAGAACCUCUCGCUCUUCAAUAGGAAUAAUAACAACAAUUUAAUCAUAAUAUUCAUCAUCAGUUUUAAUAAUCCAUUUAGCACUAGUAUAGAAAUAUGAAAAAAUAUCAAAGAAAAGAACAUAAUAGUAAAUGAAAAGGUUUGUUUUGUUGAGUGACCGCUCAGACACCCUGUCUGAAGUUGUUUUGUGACCCUCCCUUCCCUUUGAUAUUCAUACUCGAGUGAGGGAUUGUACCCACCUCUUGCCUCUCCGCAUUAAUGCUGCGCAGCUAACAAAUGCUUUCAGCCGAUGGUUUAAAGCUGUUGAUAGCCACUUAAUGGCUAUGUGGUGCUGUCACAUAUCAAGUCUUGUGAAUUCAAAUACAGAACAAACCAAAGAAGACAAGAAAAGGAGACUCUGAAGACAAAUUUGAAAACAAAGUAGCCUUUAGACAACAGGGGAAUCAGAAAUGAGUAUGUUGAGGAUGAGUGCAUUUCUGUUUGUGUGUGUGUGACUGUCAUAGGCUACUAUUGGGGACACAUUUCAGACUUAAAAAGCCCAGUUAAUUGGGGACCAACUGGGGACAAAAGCUGAUUUUUGGAUCAGUGGUUAAGGUAAGGGUCAGGUUUAGGUUAGUAGUGGUUAUGGUUAGGGUAAAUCCCCAGGAAAUUAAUAUCAGUUCCCCAAAACUUACCUAUGAUUAUAUGUGUGUGUGGGCACUUGUUUUAUAUCCUGGUGGGGACUUAAACCUGACUGCACACCCACCCAUGGGGUCUUGUGAGGUUUCAUGAGGAUAAAAGAAUUGGGUUCCCGUGGGUAGAGACCGAGACCGCUUUUUAAUUGAUAAGAUUUGGUUUUAAGGUUCAGGUUACAAUUAGGUUUAGGUUUGGGUAAGGGUCGAUGGAACGGGCUAGGGAAUACAUUACGUCAAUGAGUACCCCCCAGUGUGUGUGUGUGUGUGUGUGUGUGUGUGUGUGUGUGUGUGUGUGUGUGUGUGUGUGUGUGUGUGUGUGUGUGCGCGUACUGUGUCAACUUGUGGAGACAGUUCAUGUUGUCUUGUCAGCAUUCUGGACACAAAGGCAGAAGUAAACAGAAGAAACGUACCAAAUCCAGGCCUGCUUCUGCUGAGGAGGGAAACGGCAUAAUGUGUGCAAACAAUGUUAUCAUUCAUUAUCUGGAACACAACAGUGUCGAGAAAUCAGCUUCACUGCAAAAUGCAUAAUUCAAUACAGCAAUGCAAUGUUAGCCUAGACGACAAUGCCUGCAUUUUUCAAGGGAUUUGUAAAGGGCUGUAUUGGUGGUUUUGCAUGUUACCUUGCACACUUUGUAUUACUGCUGAAUAUAGAUCAGGGAUCAUGUUUUUGUUGCUGCACUAGCGACUCCUGCAGUUUGAGUUGAUCUGAGAUGAUAGCAUGAAGCCUCAGUCACAGGUGAAAAAAAGUCGCUGGUAGACUCCUGGCUGUCUAGAGGUUACAAGACACAACGAUUGUGGCACAAAUUGUCAUUUCAAAGCAGGGGCAAAAAAGAGGAAACAAAAGUAUUAUUGAUGCUUUCAGGAAGCAGGGAACACUGACUUUUCGAGAACUAAGAAUCAGCAGCUGAGAAGAAUGACAUUCAUAAUCUCUGCUGUCACAAAAUCAGACUAUGAAAGGAGUGGCAAAUAUGAAUGGGGUAAUGGGAAAUCGGUAAUAUCUUGCAUCAGCCAACUCUCAAAAUGUGAAUGUCAGUAUAUCCUUGAACGCACCAACCAAGGCUUUUUAUAAUUACUAUAAGUACAGCAAGGGUGUCUAUCCAAUCACUCCCUUGUCUACUAAGUAGUGAAUCACUAAAUGGGGGAUAUUUGGAAGUGAUUGGGCAACAGAAUUAAUAAACACUGAGACAGUGAUGAGUCAAUAACCUGCAGAAAAUGCUAAUGCAGCACAUGAUACCGACGUCAUAUAUGAUUCUGGGAUAGAUAUUAUGUCUACCUAUGAUUUAAUGAAAACAUGAUACUGGGUAAACUGUUCAACAGAGUUGGAUUUGCUUCUACUGGGACUUUUUACAAAAGGUGGCAAACCACAGAAAGCACAGCUACAGCACACAAAAUUAAUUGUAUACUUUUGAUUUGGAGGAAACUAAAGGGAAAUCAGUAACCAUUUAUUCCUGAUAUGUGUCAUGCAUUCAGUGUAAAUAAGUGGAUCGAAUCUUAUUCUUCUACGAGAGACAUAAAACUGAUCUGAUGUAAUUAACAUGUGGUCCUAAACAUCAGUGGUGGUGGUAUGUUUUUGUUAUUCUCAACAAACCCAAAACCAACAGCGCAUUAGUUCAACUCUCAAUACCAGCCAUUUGUUCCCACCACUGACGUGAUAAAUAUAUGACAUAUAGUUUCAGUUAAAAAAAAAAAAAAAAAAAGGCAGAU